rnacentral:rRNA from 1 species
UGGGGAAUAUUGCACAAUGGGGGAAACCCUGAUGCAGCAACGCCGCGUGCGGGAUGACGGCCUUCGGGUUGUAAACCGCUUUCAGCCAUGACGAAGCUUUUGUGACGGUAGUGGCAGAAGAAGCACCGGCUAACUACGUGCCAGCAGCCGCGGUGAUACGUAGGGUGCGAGCGUUGUCCGGAAUUAUUGGGCGUAAAGAGCUUGUAGGCGGUUUGUCGCGUCGAAAGUGUAAACUCAGUGCUUAACGCUGAGCCUGCUUUCGAUACGGGCUGACUAGAGGAAGGUAGGGGAGAAUGGAAUUCCCGGUGGAGCGGUGGAAUGCGCAGAUAUCGGGAGGAACACCAGUGGCGAAGGCGGUUCUCUGGACCUUUCCUGACGCUGACAAGCGAAAGCGUGGGUAGCAAACAGG